AUGGGUUCCGACGUUCUCUCUUGCGAGACCGCCCUAGCAACUGUGCGUCACUACGUUAGUGACAAUAUGGACGGCCUCCUUCCCACCGACGUGGUCCAGCUGGACUACAGCAGCGCUUUUGACACGCUGGACCACGACUGCCUUAGUAAAAAGUUGUCAAAUUGCGGGCUUCCUCGGGUGUCCCUCAAGAGUCCGUCCUUGGCCCAACUCUUCAAUGUGAAUGUUCGUGACAUUCCGCAGUCCGACAGGCUCCUCACCAUCCAAUACGCCGACGACACUACUUUGGCGAUGUGCAUACGCUCCCCCGAUGAUCUUGCCGCCAUGCUAGCUCACCUGGACAAUCUGGUUGUCUGGUUUGCCACUAACCAUCUCUGUGUCAGCCACGACAAGUGUGCCGUGAUGCAAUUCAGUUCGGCCAGGUAGGUCCAGACGCCACACUACACGCUUGGAGGGCUCCUUCUCCCACCUGUACAGGAGCUCAACAUCUUGGGUGUAUCAUUCACAGCCUCACUCGAUUUCAGCUGCCAUGUGGCUAAGGUGGUGAGCAGGUCUCGCAGGGUACUGGGAUUAGAGUCUCGAUUUUCACGGCGUUUUGGACGGGAGACCCUGAAAACACUGUACAUGGCUCUGGUACUUCCUCGACUGGAGUACUGUUCUUCAAUAUGGAGCCCUCAUCAGAUAAACCUCACUGAGCGCCUAGAAAGUGUGCAGCGCCGCGCGACUCAAACCUUGGCCUGCCACGACCAUUCCUCCGACUACAAUGAACGCCCGCGGUCUCUUGGCUGGCGCCGCCUGAGCCACCGCCGAACAGUGGCACAUGUCCGACUUAGGUCCGACUCGUUGCUGUUGCCGCUGGCCGGCUCCUACCUGGCAUCAGUUUCCUUGUACCUCUAGCCGGACAGGCUGUCCUAUCCCUCUCCGCGCCCGCACCCACCGACACGAAGCUUCAUUGUUCCCUGCCGCGGCGAGCUCAAACCCGUCCUUACCCCGAGCGCACGCGCCCGCCCCUAACGGGGACUGGGAACGAAUUCUGCGACUUCAGCAGGACUGUGUCGAGUGCCCUCCGAGCCCAAUAA